GGGGGCGGGGCUUGUGGAAACGGCCCGCCGCAGGGUUUGCAGUCUUGAGAAGCAGCGAAUAUGGCGGAGUGAGGUGUUCCGCUGUGAACUGGCCUCUGGGCCGGGGGUAGGCCAGUCCGGCCAGCCCCCGGGAGGCCGAGUGCAUCUGUUGGACCGUGCGAGGAGAAGAAAAAAAAAGAGAUCGGCCAGAGGAAAGGAACUGAACAUUCUUCCUCCCUGCCUUACCGAGGGAAGUGGUCACCUACACUAAAGCAAAGAUCUAAAUAGAGGUCCAUAAUCUACUGGAAAUUUUAUGCACAAUUACAAAUUUUUGUGGGAAGAAGAAGGUCCAUAACUUCAGAUUCUCAAAAAGGACAGUGUUCCAGAAAAACUUGAGAAUCAGUGCUUCAAGACUUGACAUCUUUUUAAAAAUAAUGCCAGUGCAGAUUCCUUAUCACGGGAAGAAUAUUUUCCUUGACAUUUGAGUGCUUUUAUAUUCAUCUCAAAAACAAAAUUCUGAACUCAGGACUUGGCAAGUGUCUCUACGUUGUCUCCUAGACUGUGUAGUUCUACUUCUUUUACCCAGUUACUUUCUCUGUUUUUAAAAUGUGGAUAUCACUUCUCUAUACAUUAUCUCCAUGAUUUGGAAUGAAAAAGUCUGCUUUUUUUUUGUUCUGCCUCUCAGACUGAACACAGAGGAGCUCCUAGGAUUCCAGUUAUCCUGCCAACUUCUCCACGAAGAAAGAAGAAACUCACCUAGGCAGAGUUUCACUCUUUUGCCCAACCUGGAGUCAGUCUCUCCGCCACCCAGGUUCAAGCGAUUCUCCUGCCUCAGCCUCCUAAGUAGCUGGGAUUACAGGCGCCCACCACCACGUCCGGCCUGAUUUCUUACCCAAGAUACUAGGUGUAGUGUUAGGCUCAAAAGGCUGGGACUCAGGUACUUUUCCUGGUUGGGACUGAACUUUCUCAUCGGAGAAUGAAUGGGCCUCAGAAACAAUGUUCCCAAACUUGUAAUUGGAUCAUUGUAGAUUCAGGAUGUGGAAAAGAAACCUUGAACAAGAAAAAUAGUUACAUUAAGAAAUGGAUUUUCUUUUUUUACCAUAGUAGUUAUUCGUUAUAGAGAACAGACUCUCAUAGAAAACUCUCCUUGCUUCCAAAUCAGCUGAGGACCAUUGUAUGUACUGUCAUGUCUUUACAUAAGAGUGAAACCUUUAUGCUUCUUUGUGAGUAGAGAAUAAAUUUUAAAACUAAUUAGUUGAAAUUAAGGACAGAUAGUAUUGGAACAUCUGUGUGUUUUCCAGAAUGUUUACUCAGGGCCAUGAAUGCUGUGAUGUUGGGACUUAGGGCAGAGUCACCAAAAUUUGAGAGUGAUAGAAAUGGCCCAAAAUGGGAAAUUACUGAGAUUGGUCAAUCAACCCAUUUGAAAUGGGUAAAAAAUACUUUUAGUGAAAUAAUUACAUAUUAUAUGUAAAAUAUAAUUUCUGAGGGCAGCUACAAGUGAUAAAGCUUAGUAGAAAUAACUUUAGUUAAAAGUAACCCAAAUUUUUCUCUAAGUAAUCUACCUACUUCCUGAUGUUCUUAAUAUUUUGGAAUUGUUCAAGACAGUGGAGCCUACAUGUUUGGGUUCCACUGAUAUGUUUAAAAUGUCAUAUCAUAGAGAAUUUGUACCUUC